AUCCAUCAACAAAGAAAGGCACAUAGUGCAAUGAGAAAGGUUCUUUAAUCACUCCCACCCUAUUAAAAACUGGUCACCUCCUACCUGCACCAGCUGUGUUGGCUUUGUAUCAGUGGAGCACAAGCACAGCAACCUGCUUAGAACUACCUGGUAACUGAUGAGUAGAGGCAGCAGUUUCUGGGUGGUGUUGGUGACUGGCUUCUGCAGGCUGGCGUUAGGGGUUUGGUAUUGGGGUGCUGCUUUGCCAGCAGCUUGUUUCUAGAGAUAUGAAAUUGCUCAGAGCAAAGUUCUUCAAGCAGGGUAGGUCACCCCGGAUCUGAGGAACAUUUUUCUCCCUUCUUGAGCCCUGAAACAUUUUUAUGCUGCAGCCAGAGUGUCCAGGGAAAUUCAUUACAGGAUACUGGCCCAUGGCUCCUUGUUUAUAAUUUGCUGGAGCUGUUGGCAAAGCUGUUUUACUGGCAGAGCAGGGGCUGUAAGGAGCAGCAAAUACAAGGCCAUAUAGGUAUGUUACACAUGUGCUACUAAUGACCUAGAAAUGACUGGCAAGCUCAAGAGGAGGGAGGUCACGGAGAGGUGCUGGUAGUCUUGUACCCCACAGCUAUUCUGUGUACUCACUUCUUCCUGUGGCACAGUACUAACUGGACCUUCAUAAGCUCUACAAUAAGUAGGUGACUGACCCUUCACAAACGCCUGAGGUGUGCAUCUGCUUGUGCAAGGACAUUGCCCUCGGUUUGGGUCUGGAAUCUCUGAAGUUAUGGUGCACAAUGUAUUCAACAGCUGAUGAAGCCCAGCUGAGGACAGGGCAGGAUCAGUAGGGAACAGGGAUCAAAGCCUUUGUACUUGUUGCCAAAUCAACGUGCUUGAUUUUUACUUGUAAAUUUAUUUGCUAUAAAAUGUUGUAGUCUUUUUUUAAUAUUAGCAUUUUUCAUCCUACAUACUAGUCAAGUGCAACUAAAUACUGUAUUAUCGAUGAGUCUGUUUUAUCUUCUUUCCUAACCAACAAUUGCAUGAUUUCAACAACAGAAGGCUUUCUGAAAACAGGUCAAUGUUCAGGAGAGGUGAAUUUGAAUAGCUUUUUAAAAGUAAGUUCUUAUGCCACAGUAAUGGCAUAAAUAAAACCUAUUUACUAGGUGUUCUAGGUUAUGUUGUUUUCCAACACAAAUAUGUAACAGCACCUAAGGAGAAACAUGAUUUGAACAUUUUUAAGUUCAUAAGGAUCUUUGAGUCAAAUCUGAUUUUUUCUUUUUUUUUUUUUUUUCCCUUCAUUGUCUGGUUGGUGUCUUAAAGCACUGCUAAUGGUGCAGUGACUCCCUCCGCAGCUCUGGAUACUGGAUGGGCACUACCGUGCCCAUCACCUACCCCUCACGCUAUCAGCUCUGCUUCUCUGGCAUUUCCCCCUGCAGUCUUCACUG